rnacentral:lncRNA from 1 species
UGGCACCGCCGCAUUCCAGCUUGGGCAACAGAGUAAGACCCUGUCUCAAAAAAAAAAAAAAAGAAAGGAAGAAAGGAAAGGAAAAAGGAAAGGAGGAAGGGAAGGAAGGAAAGGGAGGAAAGAAAGGGAGAAAGGAUGGUCUCAAGAGCCGCCACCCAUUUCCAUGAGGCCACUCCUCACUUCCUGCAGAGAUGACUUGCUCUCUACUCUCCGCCUGCCUCCCCUGUUCAGCUUCCAUGCAGGUCCUGCCUCUCUCUGACCUGAGCCCUGCUGACACCCGCUGGGCCCAGGUGCUGCCUCUGGAGUUCUUCCCCUCUGUAAUUUUCUUCUUGGUCUGCGCCCUCCUGGUUUCCUGCUGGUUCUCCAGCACUCUUAACUGACUCUCCUGGCACUCUGCACUUCUUUGUAGUAAUCACAAUGGCAAUUAAUUACCUGUAUAAUUAUGUGUUUAAUAGCUGUGUCUCCUACCACUAGCCUGUAAACUCCAUGAGGAUGAGAACUUGUCUGACUUCUUCCCUGCUAUUUCUUCAGUGCUUGAUACUUAAUAAAUAUUUUUUGGAUUAACAGAAAAUGAGAGGCUACCUGUUUUUCUUCUAAGUCUAUAUUCCCUGAGGGCAAGGACUGCUUUAUUGUUCCAUUUUCCCUGUACCUUACAGAGAACCUGGUGCUGAAUGGGCAACAACGUUUGCUGAAUGAAUGAAUGAAGAGACUGAAGCCCCAUUUCUCUUCCCCUUUUACCUGUAUCAUGCCUUAAGACUGGUUCUCCCCUCACUGCAGUCAGAAAAGUGAAGACAUCUUCAAAGAUCUAGCCUGGUUUAAAGAGGUGACUUUGUGCUGUAAGUGUUAGAAACCAGGCAGAAACCUGCUGAGCACAACCUGGAUUUCAGUGAAGGGAGCCAGCCGCACGUGAAGAGCAUUCACGCCGCCACAUGUGUUUAAUCUAAAGCCAACAUCCUGUCCGUCAAACAUGAGACCAGAAACAUUGCUCGCCUUCGCUCAGAAGUCAGAGGGCUUUGCAGGAUGACUUUGAUGACCAAGGCUUUUUAAAUAGAUACCUGGGAAGAUGGAACCUUUUCCCUCUAAGUAAAUUUCCCUAGAGCAAAUAGUUCCACUGACCUUAGACAUGACUUCAGGGCUUUCUUCAGAGUUGAGAGCUAUUUAAAAAUAAAAGUUAUGGAAUCUGAUUGCUUGAAGACCUCACUAAAGAUUUCAAAUGUGGGGAUCUGGAGAGUAGGAGGGGAGGGAGUCUCUCUUUAAUCUCUUUCCUUUUUUUUUUUUUUUUUUUCUUCUGCCAGUCCUUUAUUCCCUUCCUCCUUACAAGAGAAUCAGAAUGGAGAGGAGCCCUUUGGGGAUAAAAAUCCCGGGGGGCUAUGAGAUCAUUGUCCCAAGCACUGUGGAGGAGGGAGAGUCUGUCUUUGCUUUUUUUCUUUUAAUAAACUUUAAUGAGGUAUGAUGAGUCUUGGCCAAUGUACACAUUUGUUCAUUGUCACCAUGACCUUGCUUUUUUUUU